GGAAAGUGCAAGGUAGCAUGGAGCGCGGUCACCACGCCGGAAUCCCACGGAGGCCUUGGUAUCCAUGAUCUGGACAAAUUCGCGCGCGCCCUCCGUCUGCGCUGGCUCUGGCUCUCCUGGACCCAUCCAGAGCGGCCAUGGGUCGGCACGGACACGCCAUGCAACCUGCAGGAUCAAGCCCUCUUC
rnacentral:rRNA from 1 species